AGUGAACGCUGGCGGUAUGCCUAACACAUGCAAGUCGAACGGCAGCACAGUAAGAGCUUGCUCUUACGGGUGGCGAGUGGCGGACGGGAGAGGAAUACAUCGGAAUCUACUUUUUAGUGGGGGAUAACGUAGGGAAACUUACGCUAAUACCGCAUACGACCUACGGGUGAAAGCAGGGGAUCUUCGGACCUGGCGUGAUUGAAUGAGCCGAUGUCGGAUUAGCUAGCUGGCGGGGUAAAGGCCCACCAAGGCGACGAUCCGUAGCUGGUCUGAGAGGAGGAUCAGCCACACUGGAACUUAGACACGGUCCAGACUCCUACGGGAGGCAGCAGUGGGGAAUAUUGGACAAUGGGCGCAAGCCUGAUCCAGCCAUACCGCGUGAGUGAAGAAGGCCUUCGGGUUGUAAAGACCUUUUGUUGGGAAAGAAAAGCAGCAGGUUAAUACAGCGCUGUUCUGACGGUAACCAAAGAAUAAGCACCGGCUAACUACGUG
rnacentral:rRNA from 1 species